GCCCACCAAACCGACGAUCGGUAGCCGGACUGAGAGGUUGAACGGCCACAUUGGGACUGAGACACGGCCCAGACUCCUACGGGAGGCAGCAGUGGGGGAUAUUGCACAAUGGGGGAAACCCUGAUGCAGCGACGCCGCGUGAGGGAAGAAGGUUUUCGGAUUGUAAACCUCUGUCUUCAGUGACGAAAUGAGACGGUAACUGAGGAGGAAGCCACGGCUAACUAC
rnacentral:rRNA from 1 species